ACGUUUGAGAGGAGGGCGGAGUGUCGUUCCCUUUCGCUGAUGCAAGAGCCUAGCGCGGUGCUGUGAGAGGUAUCGGUAGGAGCUACGCUGACUCCGGGGUGUGAAGCCGACCGGUCUGACUUUUCAUCACUGCCGAACCCACUCGAACCACAGCCAUGUCCGGGGACGAGAUGAUUUUUGAUCCUACUAUGAGCAAAAAGAAAAAGAAGAAGAAGAAGCCUUUUAUGUUAGAUGAAGAAGGUGAUGCCCAGACAGAAGAAACCCAGCCCUCAGAGACAAAAGAAGUGGAGCCAGAACCAGCUGAAGAGAAAGAUGUGGAAGCCGAUGAAGAGGACAGUAGGAAAAAAGAUGCUUCUGAUGACUUAGAUGACUUGAACUUCUUUAAUCAAAAGAAAAAGAAGAAAAAGACAAAAAAGAUAUUUGAUAUUGAUGAAGCUGAAGAAGCUAUAAAGGUAGU
rnacentral:lncRNA from 1 species